CCUACGGGAGGCAGCAGUAGGGAAUCUUCCACAAUGGACGAAAGUCUGAUGGAGCAACGCCGCGUGCGUGAAGACGGGUUUCUGCUCGUUAAGCUCUGUUUGUAGUGAGGUAAGCUAGAGGUCGUAACUUCCCUUGAUUUGACGGUAAGUACUUAGAUCGUCACGGCUAACUACGUGCCAGCAGCCGCGGUAAUACGUAGGUGGCAAGCGUUGUCCGGAUUUAUUGGGAGUAAAGCGAGUGCAGGCGGUAAAAUAAGUCUGAUGUGAAAGCUUUCGGCUCAACCGUAGAAUUGCUGCAGAAACUGGUUAACUUGAGUGCAGAAGAGGAAAGUGGAAUGCGUUGUGUAGCGGUGGAAUGCAUAGAUAUAACGAAGAACACCGAUGGCGAAGGCGGCUUUCUGAUCUGCAACUGACGCUGAGGCUCGAAAGCAUGGGUAGCGAACAGGAUUAGAUACCCUUGUAGUC
rnacentral:rRNA from 1 species